rnacentral:lncRNA from 1 species
AGGUACCUCUCUCUUUACCCCAACCACCCACAGCAUAAUCUCCUUUUCCAUCGAACUAAGAAAUUUGUUAGGUUGUAGUUUUUUCAUAUUUAUGGACUAAAAAGCUGAUUAAUUAUUUGUUUGUUUAGCUUAAAUGAAUUUGCAACAUGGUUGGAGGAAUAAAUUUCUGCGACGACCUUUUCACUUUUUCCUCUUCUUUUAAAAGAAACAAUUAAUUAACCACAAUCCAAAGUGAAAAACAAAACAAGAUACAUGGGCUAAAUUCCAACAAUCAAUGUAGUCAUGUGUAACAAUUGCAGAAAAUAUCUCUCACCACACCCAACAAUCACUACCAUUAACUGACAUAUCUAAUAAUUCAUAAACAUGUCAUAAUUUGACACUGAAAUAUGAAUGGGCAUAGAGUUUCUGAUCCUCAAAAGACAUGUAAAAUGCACAUCUUGCCUUCAAAAACUCUUACUUUUUCCUGAUGAUUAGCUGGAAUUUCUGGUUGCAAGAAAGAUCUUAUUUUUAUCUUGAUAUAUAUAUAUAUGUGUGUGUGUGUAGUUAUGAAAAAAGAGGAAAGAUAUAGAUAACGAACAGGCCUAAAUUUAAAGGUGUGUUAAUUUAAGGAAAUAAUACAUUCUCAAUAGCAAAGGAAGGAUCCGUAAUGUAAAAACUCUAAUAUGCUAAACUGUUGCUUCAACCUCUUGGACUCGAAAUGUGCAUCAUUCCAGUAAAUGAAGCAUGAGAAUGCAAGUGUUCACAUAUGUGUGGACCACUAUUUUGAAAACAAGAUCCUGACAGAUCAAAUGGGAACAACAAGACCCCGUACGGUUUUUAUAAAAAACUGGAAAAAUUAAGAACCGUUUAAGAAAUCUAGGUACCGGCAUGUUCACGCAACAACAUUCACAAUAAGAACCAGCCAGUUCACUCAAAAAUCUAUUUUUGAAUUUUUUAAAAAUAUUUUUUGACACAACUUCAACCUUAUUUAACCUGGGUUCAACCCUUUAAACCCUAACUCCCAGGCCGGUUUUCAAAACAUUGGUGUGGACAUGUAAUGAGAGAAAACUAUAUUGAAAUUUGAUAUGACUAGGGGUCUCUUCUUGCAUGGUAGUAUGAAGAAAUCAAUAAAUUGGUGAUCAAAACAUCCAAGCAAGCCAGGUCUAUGCAAAGCAGCUGCCAAGCCACUAUAUAAAUGCAUAGAAAAGAAUUGAGCUUAUCUAACUUUCACCUGUUAAAUGAAACUGUUGUGAGUCAUAGUAAAAAUAAAUUUACAAGGAUUUUUGCACAAUAUGGUAGUAGCAGGACACUACUCAGUUUUACAUAUGAAAGCCUACCUGUAAAACUGAGGCAAAACAGAAAAGAGAUAAAAGAAGGGCAAGAGUUUGCUCUCUAAAUACUCUUGUGAAAGUCUAAAUUUUGUUAAGUACAAGGGUUCAGAUUCUAUGAAAUUCUGUGUUUGGUUUGUCUUAAUAAUUGUGAAAUACAGAAAAUUGUGCUUGUUUCUGGUUAGUCCUUAUUCAUAGAAUUCCUUAGUCAAAUCUCUCCUUGAUCCUUUUAUUGAGUUCAUAAAUAUUCCUAGCAUCCAAGAGUAUUAUAUUACGCUAUUAGCCAUGUUAUGUAGUUGAAGGUGUGAUUAAGAGAAAUUUUCCUAAAAUGCUAAAUGGACAAAGAUAUUUGUAAGGAAAAUGCUUCUCUUACAUACCAAAUGUUUAUACAUAAUCUUUGGUUUUUCUCCUUUUGUAGUCAUGGGUUGUAAGUUUGCUCCUUUUCGGGGGCAUGGUGGUGAUUUAUCUCAUAUUCUCGAUUCACACACCUAUUAGAGCCCGUAAUAAAAACCUCAAGAAAAUAGGAGUUGAUUGAGAGCCAUGAUUUAUUAUCCUUGUCAGUACAUUGAAGCUCUCAAACUGGAGAACCGUGAAAUCAUGACGGUAUGAAGAGGCAAGAAUUAAAUUUAUAAAAAAAUAAUAAUAAUAAAUAAAUAAAAGAGAGAAAAAGAAGAAGAAGCAAAGAAACUAUGAUAAUAUGAUCACUCAAUCAAAUCGUAACCAAAUAUAUUCUGACUACUCUCCCAUUGCAUCGCAUGUACUCAUUGAUGAAACCUAACAUUAGCAGUACAAUUAUUUACCAACUGUAAACUGCAGUAUUUUAAUUUCCAAAGGUGCGAAAAGAAAUUACAUGACAUUAUAAAAAGAUAAAUUUUACGAUGCAAAAUAAAUUCUAAUAUUGAGAAUAAAAAUCCACAUUAUACCAUUCAAAUUCAAUCACGGUGGAAGCGUGAAAGAAUGAGAAUGAGGGGGAGUACGAAUUUACCAGUAAAAGGGCCAAAGAGUGUAAUCAAGAUCGAAGACAACAAGGCGAGGAAGGGUUCCGUGGAGUCCGAUGAUCUGUUCAGCCUCGUCGUUCGACAUCCUCUCUCUCAAACGCGCUCAAGCACGGAGGGAGAGUCGUCUGGUCUUCCUAAAAUAGCGUUAACUGUACGUGAUUUUUGGAGUUAAUUGUUCAAAUGUUCACUGAACUUUGACCCAUAUUUUCUAUUGGUUACUAAAAUUUAAAAUAUCAAAUUUUGAUAGUCUAUUGAGUGCACUCACUGUUCAAGAAUCUAUCUCUAAUAGUUCUUCCUUACUUAGCCUUAAAGCUACUCUAAAGCGGUAGAAUAAGAAUUGAGUGCACUCACUACUCAGGAAUCUAUCUCUAAUAGUUCUUCCUUGCUUAGUCUUAAAGCUACUCUAAAGAGGUAGAAUAAGAACUAAGGAGCUUUAAGAAGGAGGGGGGUGUCUGAGAUUCUUUAUUUAAUACCUCAAGAAGAGGAUGACG